AGAUUUGUCAGUUUCCUGCAUUAUCAGUGUAUCAUCUCUCAUAAAUUAUUACUGUAAUCUCUCCCAUUCCACAGUACUACAUGUUCCGAAGUCUGUCCGAAUGGUCAGUACUGCUGCCUGUGUUGCUGAUAAGAAGCCAUUGAGAAGAGGGCUAGUACAGUUUUUUGCAUGCAGAUUUUUUUCAGUUCACUCCACAGAAAUUCAGAAAUCUCACCUAUUUUCUGUUGCUGUGUUUACAGUUUGCUGCUUUAAAAGUAAAGGCAGAAGCCUGCCAGGUCAGUUGUGAGAGAAAUAACAUCUACAAAGAGGAUGCCAAGGGGAAAAAAGGAAGGAUGUUCGCUAAGAAGAAUCACGUGAGAGCAUCCAGUCUAAGAGGAAAAGGGAGUCACUGUUCAAGAACAUUCUUUAGUUGAAGAGACAGCUAUUUCAAUGGCAGAAGGAUUGUAGGCACGUGAAAGAGAUGAUGUCUCAGGACGUUCUCUAGAUAAGUUUGAUUCUCCAUUUUCUUGUGUCAUUCACGCCAGAGGGAAAUGAUUGCAAAAUGAAGGGUAGGAGCAAGUGACAAAAACUAUCACUCUUGCUGUAAUGCAAAUGAGGCCUGAUUUACUGAAGAGUAUAAAACUUUGGGGAGAAUGGAAGAGGGGUCACUGUAUCUUAAAGGAAACACUGCAGUUUAAUGAGUUACUACUGAUUGUCCAGAGAGGAGCCUGUUAAAAAAAGAAGUACAUUCUCCUUUGCAGCUGGGUUAGUUUGGGGUGUGCAUGUGACGAGUUACCACAGCUCAGCUGAUGAAUGAUAAUAUUUUGAACUACACUACCUCAGUCUGUAUACUUUCACACAGUAUUCCAGUAGAGUAAUUUCUUCUUUACUUGGGCAUAUAAUCAGAAUUAAGCAUUCUUAUCUGUUCUUGGAAGACACUAAUGAUAGUCUAGGAACUGAUUCCUGUUCGGACUAAGGUUUUCUCCCACCUUCAGCAGUCUAAUGAAGCUUUCAUCUGAAUGUAAAUAUAACUCAUAUCCAACAUGGGGUGUGGUUAUUUGAGUGCAGGACUUUGUCUUUUGCUGUCUCCUACUGAAGACAGUUUACAAGACGUACUUAGGCUUCAUAGCAGCAUGCUGCUGAAACCUUCUCUGCAAUGCGUAGUGUCUGAAAUUGGAAUUUUCCUAUUAAUGUCCACAAUUAAACAACAUUUUAAUUAAAGAAUAUCAACCCUAGGAAAUGCUUUCAUAUGAUAUUUAAAAAUAAGGCCCUGUUCCGGUCAAUGGUGAAAGUCAAUGGUGAAAUUGUAAAGAUGAAUGAAACUGGAUCCUAAAACUUUUUCUCCUAAAAAUAGAGCACCAUGAUUUGAAAUUCAUCUUAGCUUGACAUUGGAAGAAGAGCUUCUAAUGUUGAUAUGUGAGAACUGGGGAGAAUGUGGCAAUUCUAGCUAUCCUGGACUCAUAGAUAGAAAGAUCUUCUCAUUCUAUAGUCAAUCCCCCAAGAAGAUGGGGGAUGCAAGCCUAAUAGGAGGAAGCUUUCUCAGAAAGAGCUGGCACUGGAAAAGGUGAAGGACCUGGCAUAUUCUAGCCAUUUGCUAUCCGUAAAAUAAAAGAUACAGCUGAGUUCA
rnacentral:lncRNA from 1 species